GGCCCCAUCGUCUAAUGGUCAGGACGUCGCCCUUUCACGGCGGCAAUGGGAGUUCGAUUCUCCCUGGGGCUA
rnacentral:tRNA from 1 species